CGGAUCAGGUAGGAAUACCCGCUGAACUUAAGCAUAUCAAUAAGCGGAGGAAAAGAAACCAACAGGGAUUACCCUAGUAACGGCGAGUGAAGCGGUAACAGCUCAAAUUUGAAAUCUGACCUUCACGGGUCCGAGUUGUAAUUUGUAGAGGAUGUUUCGGAUAAGGCUUUGGUUUAAGUUUCUUGGAACAGAACGUCAUAGAGGGUGAGAGUCCCGUCUAGAACCGAUAGCCGCGUUCAUGUGAAACUCCUUCGACGAGUCGAGUUGUUUGGGAAUGCAGCUCAAAAUGGGUGGUAAAUUUCAUCUAAAGCUAAAUAUUGGCCAGAGACCGAUAGCGCACAAGUAGAGUGAUCGAAAGAUGAAAAGCACUUUGAAAAGAGAGUUAAACAGUAUGUGAAAUUGUUGAAAGGGAAGCGCUUGCAACCAGACUUGUGUUUAACGGUUCCCCUGUGUCUUUUGACCAGGCUAUUCCGUUAUAUCCAGGCCAGCAUCGGUUCGGGUGGUUGGUUAAAGGCCUUGGGAAUGUAUCUACCUUCGGGUCGACUUAUAGCUCGGGGUGUAAUGCGGCCUACCUGGACCGAGGAACGCGCUUUUGCUCGGAUGCUGGCGUAAUGGUUGUAAGCGGCC
rnacentral:sRNA from 1 species